rnacentral:rRNA from 1 species
AAUAGAUACCCUGGUAGUCCACGCCGUAAACGAUGAGUGCUAAGUGUUAGAGGGUUUCCGCCCUUUAGUGCUGCAGCUAACGCAUUAAGCACUCCGCCUGGGGAGUACGGUCGCAAGACUGAAACUCAAAGGAAUUGACGGGGGCCCGCACAAGCGGUGGAGCAUGUGGUUUAAUUCGAAGCAACGCGAAGAACCUUACCAGGUCUUGACAUCCUCUGACAACUCUAGAGAUAGAGCGUUCCCCUUCGGGGGACAGAGUGACAGGUGGUGCAUGGUUGUCGUCAGCUCGUGUCGUGAGAUGUUGGGUUAAGCCCCGCAACGAGCGCAACCCUUGAUCUUAGUUGCCAGCAUUCAGUUGGGCACUCUAAGGUGACUGCCGGUGACAAACCGGAGGAAGGUGGGGAUGACGUCAAAUCAUCAUGCCCCUUAUGACCUGGGCUACACACGUGCUACAAUGGAUGGUACAAAGGGCUGCAAGACCGCGAGGUCAAGCCAAUCCCAUAAAACCAUUCUCAGUUCGGAUUGUA